rnacentral:rRNA from 1 species
CGACGCUGGCGGCACGCCUAACACAUGCAAGUCGAACGAAGUAGCAAUACUUAGUGGCGAACGGGUGAGUAAUAUGUGGGAAUCUGCCCUUCGGUCUGGAAUAACAUGGGGAAACUUAUGCUAAUACCGGAUAAGCCUUUACAGGGAAAGCUUUAUGCUCCGAUUGAUGAGUCCACACUUGAUUAGUUAGUUGGUGAGGUAAUGGCUCACCAAGACAAUGAUCAAUAGCUGAUUUGAGAGGAUGAUCAGCCACAUUGGGACUGAGACACGGCCCAAACUCCUACGGGAGGCAGCAGUGGGGAAUCUUGCACAAUGGGGGAAACCCUGAUGCAGCGAUGCCGCGUGAGUGAAGAAGGCCCUUGGGUUGUAAAGCUCUUUCGUCGGGGAAGAAAAUGACUGUACCCGAAUAAGAAGGUCCGGCUAACUUCGUGCCAGCAGCCGCGGUAAUACGAAGGGACCUAGCGUAGUUCGGAAUUACUGGGCUUAAAGAGCACGUAGGUGGUUAAAAAAGUUGGUGGUGAAAUCCCAGGGCUUAACUCUGGAACUGCCGUCAAAACUUUUUAGCUAGAGUAUGAUAGAGGAAAAGUAGAAUUUCUAGUGUAGAGGUGAAAUUCGUAGAUAUUAGAAAGAAUACCAAUUGCGAAGGCAGCUUUCUGGAUCAUUACUGACACUGAGGUGCGAAAGCAUGGGUAGCGAAGAGGAUUAGAUACCCUCGUAGUCCAUGCCGUAAACGAUGUGUGCUAGACGUUGGAAAUUUAUUUUCAGUGUCGCAGCGAAAGCAUUAAGCACACCGCCUGGGGAGUACGACCGCAAGUAAACUAAAUGAUGACG